rnacentral:lncRNA from 1 species
AGGUAUACGUACAAAGAUCUGUUCCAACUUGUGGCAGUACUGCAAGUCCCACCCUCCCAUGGCUCUCCUCUGUACAGACUGUAAAAUACAAGCAGAAAACACUAAUUAACUGAUCAUUAGCAGGAAGGUGAAAGAUCAUACUUAGAUUUACAUGUUGCCUUCUUGUUCAAAGAACUGCGUCAGCAUCCACUAAUUAAUCCAUCAGCAAAGAAUGCUGCCUGCAUCUCUCCAUCAUUAGCCAGUCUUCAAAAGAAGCAAGAGGACCAGGGAUGGGCGCCAGAUGGCUUCUGAUGCAUCUCUGUCAUUCAUAUCUCCUCCACCAGGCAUGUCCCAGUGUAGAUGAAAAUGAACGGCUGUUGACUAAGCUCCAGCGGCCUCUCUUUCUCCGUCACAUCAAGUGAAUCAUGUCUCCCUGGGGAUUUCAGAGUGUCCCUAAGCAUUGUGUUUAUGAAGUAGUGGCACUUGGAGGACGACUCCUGAGUUUGAGAAGAUAUGUACCUUCCAAAGCUGACCACUUUCCAAGUUCUUGCUGAACUACUGAAUAGUGUUUUUCUAAAAUUGAAAAAAAAAUAAAGAAAAGAAAAGAAAAGAAAAGAAAAAUGGC